GCUCCCUCAGGACAUGCCUUCGAG
rnacentral:siRNA from 1 species